UGCAAUAGAACUUUUUUACCGGUAUUUGGCGCACAGCCAAAUUAUCCAGCCAAGACAGAUUAUUCAGCUAGGUAAAAGACGCUAUAUGAGCAGGGGGACGUGCGUCUAUUUAUACCAACCAAUCAUGUACACAAUAAGAAGCGGCUGAAGACUAAGAAAACAAAAAUAUUAGAACUGUCCCUUUGCCACAAAUUUAGGACAUCACCAUCUCCAACAGCACUGUCCUACAAUAAAUAAAUAGGAAGUAAAAAGCAGGAGCAACAGCAGCUGCAACCUUAUCUUCCCAGAUCGAAAGGAACGCAUGGAUUUGUCGUCAAGUGAGGAAGACCUUUCAUCAUCGUCUUCCUCAUCGUCUUUAUCAUCUCUGACUUGUUUUCGAGCGCCUUCAGUGAACGAGGACACACCUCUCGUCUUUAUGAGCAUUGGGACACAUGGACUAUUUAAUAACGACAAAGACCACGUUCCCGAUAUUUCUCACAUCUGCCUGGUGUACAAGAAUAAAAGUUUUUUUAGGUCUUCAAAGAGAAAAGUUUCAAAGAAAUGUCUUAACGAUUUAAUCCAGUGGCUGGAUGACGUGAAAGACUCAGCAGACGGGAGAAAGGUCAUCUUGCUGGCCCAUAAUGGCUUUUGCUGUCACUUUAAAGUGCUUUGCCUGAAUCUAGAUAAAUAUGAGCUCAUUAAAGAAUCUUUCAAAGUAAUCGACGGGUUAGUAGACACCCUGGACCUGGCUCGGAGGUUUAUUCCGCAGAAGCGUGUCAGGGACUACAAGCUGACCACUCUUUCCGAGGUCUUCUUAGAAUGUGACCCGCCUAAAAAAGCCAAAACAAAAGCGCGUGCACUUCAGAAGAUUUUCAAGAGGCAGCUUGCCGAUGAUUUUAGCAAGGAAGAUGUGUAUUCAUUCAAAUGUUUUGUAAAAUCCAUCACUUAAAACAGGCUAUUGGUAGUUUCUGCUGUGUGCAGUUCCUUCUUACAUUCAUGUAUACCCAUAUACAUACAGGCGUACAGAACUUCUAAAGUGUAGUUUAAUGUGUUGUAUAAUAUUCUUUUGAUAAAGAAUUCACUACGCGGGGACUCGAGUCACAACUUUCCAAGUCCUUAUAUGUGAAUCUGUCAAAGUUUUAUUUAAACUAAAAACACAAGCAGUAUUUUUUAUGUGUAAGUUGUCUGUAUCAUAUGCAGACCUUAUAUUUUGUUGUAACUUAAAAUUUUUUUUUAAAACAGACCUAAACUAAGUCGUUCAAGAAAACACAAUGUUUUUCUGUUCAUAUUGCCACAUUUCUCCUGAGCUUAACAUUUUUGGCAGCCAUUUCCUUUUCAAUCAAGUGUUUUCUGUUGAUGACUGAAGCGCAAGAUCGUUCAGUACGAAUGACACAGUCACAAUUCAUUAUGUCGCCAGCUCCUCCCAUCUCCACACUUUAUGAUAGAAUGUAAUUCCACCAAAGUUACCAUUACUUGUAAUCAAAUCACAUCUCCUUUUUUUGUAUCGUCACCCUCACUUUUCGUCCAGUACUUGUGCUGGAUGGUAGCGAGAUAACGAGCUGGGCGUCUUUAAUUACAUGUCUGCGUGCAUUUAACAUUAAAUGAUGAUCGGCAGUUUAACGGAUAAAUGUCAUGUCUGUACGGCAAUGCCUUUCAAAAUUAAAGAGGAACUACAUAACAGUAUUUAUUACGAGUAUAAAUGUAACAUCUAGCCAAACUGAAAGAGGAACUACAUAACAGUGUUUAUUACGGGUAUAAAUGUAACAUCUAGCUAAACUAAAAGAUGACAGUAAAUAAAUGUAAAUAUGGUC